GCCAGGCAUGGUGGCGUGUGCCUGUAAUCACAGCUACCUGUGAGGCUGAGACAGGAGAAUUGCUUGAACCCGGGAGGUGGAGGUUGCAGUGAGCUGAGAUCAUGCCAUUGCACUCUAGCAUGGGUGACAGAGCAAGACUCUGUCUCAA
rnacentral:SRP_RNA from 2 species